rnacentral:rRNA from 1 species
AUACGAAGGGAGCUAGCGUUGUUCGGAAUUACUGGGCGUAAAGGGCGCGUAGGCGGUUCGAUUAGUCAGAUGUGAAAGCCCUGGGCUCAACCCGGGAACUGCGCUUGAUACUGUCGGGCUUGAAUUUGGUAGAGGUAAGUGGAAUUCCCAGUGUAGAGGUGAAAUUCGUAGAGAUUGGGAAGAACAUCCGUGGCGAAGGCGGCUUACUGGACCAACAUUGACGCUGAGGCGCGAAAGCGUGGGGAGC